AUAAACAAAUAAAAUUUAAAAAGCAUUAAACCAGGCUGCAAUGUGCAUCACAGGUAACAUGCUAAAGAGAUUACAAAGACAGAAAGAAAUCUCACCCCUUUAUAUAGCCAAGAAAUAUAAUCCUUACAUGCAUCUUCUUGAGAUAAAUGAUAACUGGUCUUCAUGUAAUAAGGCCUAACACCACCAUUUUUUAUAACAUUCUUUCAAACAUUCUUUUUAUAACAUUCUCCAUCCUAAAUUCACCUGGUAAUUGGGGUAUCCUUCUGUGCUAGACAGUCACCUUUAUCCCAAGGAAAAAUAACAUUUCUUUAUGACAAGCAGGCAGUUGUAGCUUGGAGUAAGGGGCCCAUGGAGAUAGGAAGUUAUCUUUCUUGAUAUUUUCAUUUCCAAAGAGUUGUCUCUCUUACCCUUAACACAACACUGGCAGGUUGCAAUUCUGGCUAGAGGCUUAGUCAGCUUUUCAAAAAACUGACAUGCAUAAUAAAGGGACUAAGGAAGAGUUUACAAAUACAAUUUUUUUCUUAAGAAAAUAGUCUAAGACAUGAGCAUAGAAGAAAAGGUCUCUAUCCUUAUUGGCAACAGGAAAAACUCAGCUUUUACAAAUGACCCUUACAUUUGCCUAGAAACUUGAAGUUCAAGCAAGCAUGCUUUCUAAACAGAAGGCUUUAAAGAUUCUAAUUGCAGUCACAUACUCUCCUCCCUGAGGUGGAUCAUUACCUCGUAUUUUAGUGAUCAAAUAUAAGCAUUUAUUUUGACUUAUGCCAGGGUUUGGCCAUAAAUUAAACACAUUUGUAAAUCCCUAAUACUUAAAUUGCUGCUCAAUAGUACUAGAACCCAGAGAUAAGUGUCACAUAGGCUGGUCUUCAUUCCCACCUGUCUGUAGCUAUUAAAUCAUAAGAGCCAGAAAAAAAACAAAUUCUGCUAUUGCUAAAGUCAAAGACAAAGAAAGCUGGGUACUGAUUAACAUGGUGAGGACAGGUUUUAUCAGUAACAUAACAUCGCAGUAGAGAAGAGGUCCAGCGUGAACUGAACUGAACUAUGAUCUAUGCAAGAUGACUCAGCAUUUUAAAGGGAAAAUGAGGGAGAAGGGAAAGGCUGAGCAGAGACUGAGUGGAAUCAGCCAAGCGGAAAAUUACAAAAAGUAGGAAGGGGCUGCUUGGGCCAUGUGAUUAGUCCCUCUGGGUUUGCUAACUGGAACUAAGGGAAGUUGGACUCCUGCCCUCUGUGAGACUGGGAGACAGGCAUUUCUUCAGACAUUGCUGGAACAAAUACUGAAUUCUUUUGGAAGCCGUGAGUUUUCUCAGGCUGGCUCUUUAACAGGGCUUGGUUAUCUAUUGAUGUAGCCUUGAACUGUUAGAAAUUAUGUUUGGGUGUGUUCAGAUCCUUACAGACCAAGGCGAGGCCUAUUUCAAAAGAGACUCAGAGGAGCCUGGGGAAAGUCUGUUCAAGAAGAGAAUCCGUGCCACUGUGUGGGGUGGUCUGUGCCUUAGUCACCGUGAGUUGUGAAAAACAGGUGUUACCAGUACUGACACGCCUCUAAGGAGUCUUUGUCAUAUUUGAUUUGGUCCUCAUGCUCUUUGGAUUUUACUCUCAUUAUGUAGAGAGGGAAUAGACAGAGCCCAUGAGAGCAGGGAGAGUCUCUGCCACUGAUCUCCCUUGCUUAUUUAUUCUCUUGCUCCUGAUCUCUUACUCUCCUGCUUUGCACCAUGGAGCACCACAGCAGGAAGGCUCUCAUCCAAUGAGAUCACUAUGGCCUUGGAAUUUCCAGCCUCUGGAGCCAUUAGCCAAAUAUACCUCUAUUGUGUAAGAACCAGCCAGUUACAGUUAUUUUGUUAUAGCAACAUAAAGCACAGUAAGAUACAGCCAUAUAAUUCUCUGUAAAUAAGUGGAAAUCCAUUGUGAGGCAACAAAAAGAAAUGUUUCCAGAGUAGCUGGGACAAUCCACUUCAGCCCAUCAAUACCACCCCAUAGAAGCAAAGCAGACAUGAAGAUCACCUAUCAGGGCUCCUAAAAUACCCCCAAAACACUGGUUAAGUCUAAGCCUCCUUCUAACAGGCUGUCUUAGUUCAUGACAGCUGCUAUAACAAAAGACUGCAGACUGGUUAGUUAUAAAUAUCAGGCAUGGAUUGCUCACAGAUCUGGAGGCUAGAAGCUCAAGAUCAAGUGCAGACAAAUUUAGUGUCUAGUGAGGCCCUGCUUCCUGACUCAUAGAUAGCUGUCCUCUUUCUAUCCUCAUGUCACAAAAGGGACAAGCACUCUCUCUUGAAUCUCUUUAACAAGGACACUAAUCCCAUUUAUUAUGGUUCCACACUCAAGAUCCAAUUGAGACAGAAAAAUAGGGUCUGGAGACAGGGAACACAAGGCCAAUUCACACUUCAGCUAUGACAGGAAAUGUCCUCUCCAUAAGGUAUAUUCCAGGUAAAUGACUUUGUAACCUCACUUCACCCUUUUCAUUUACAUAGUGUGUACACCAGGCAACCAGUGAAAAUCCCUAGAGAGUAUUUAAACCCCCACAAAUUCUGUAACGAGGCCCUUGAGCCACUACGCUCAGGCCCACUUCCACAAUGUGGAGUGUACUUUUAUUUUCCAUAAAUAUCUACUUUUGUUGCUUCAUUAUUUCUUUGCUUUUUUGUGCAUUUUGUUGAAUUCUUUGUUCAAGAUGCUGAGAACCUGGACACCCUCCACUGGUAACAUAUUUUGCUGAGCCAGCCAGGAGAAAUUCCAGCAGAAGCUAGGCCCAAAGAUUAGGAUUUAUUUCUCUCCUUUCCUUUCUGUUUCAUACAGGGGAAUCUCUCCUUGGUGGGCAGUGCCUAAACACAGAGAAAACUGCAGAAUUCUGGCUAUGGCCAGUGAAAACUAAGGGUGUCCAUGUGAAGGCACCUAACCGUCACCAACCAGUUUGCUUAAGGGACCUGGGUCUUCUCUUUUUUUCCUUUCUUUCAUUUUCAGCCUCUCAACAACUGCUUUCUAGCAGCUCCUUGAAAAUUGAAGGCAAUUGGCUGGAGUCACUCCCAGGUAUUGCCUGAAGGCCUAGGAAUGAAUGGGACUAUUUGCCCUGCGCAGAAGGCGGAAGGGCUCUUUUCCUUUUUUUUUUUGAGACAGAGUUUCACUCUUAUUGCCCAGGCUGGAGUGCAAUGGUGUGAUCUCAGCUCACCACAACCUCUGCCUCCUGGGUUUAAGCAAUACUCAUGCCUCAGCCUCCCAAGCAGUUGGAACUACAGGUGCCUGCCACCAUGCUGGGCUAAUUUUUGUAUUUUUAGUAGACGGGGGUUUCACCAUGUUGGCCAGGCUCAUCUUGAACACCUGACCUCAAGUGAUCCACCUGUCUUGGCCUCUCAAAGUGCUGGAAUUACAGGCAUAAGCCACCAUGCCUGGCCAGGAAUUCUUGCUUUUUAGGGUUUCGCUUAAGUUUUAGGUUAUAAGGAUAAGAAUUCUAGUUAACACAUAAUUCAGUAGGCAAAAUGUGCUGGAAAAGAUUAUGUUAGUAGUGAGAAAAAGAAUAACUUUGUAUAAUUCAGAAGUUAUCAAAUUCUAACUAACUUUUUGGAUUUUAGGCUUCUAGACAGUUUAAGCAUGUUGAAUAUACUUUCAUAAAUAGAAUUUGAGUUCUAUUUCUCUCUCUGCCUAAUUUCUUCAAAAUUUGUAAACUAUUUGUGAAUAUUCUUAAUUCAUGGCAAUAUGUUUGUCUGCAUACAGUUGAGCAGGGUCCCUAGGGCCACUCAGGGAGAAAGAACCCAGAAACCAGACAUGCUUGCAAAAGAAUAUUUCUUACCAGUUAGUCUCUGGUCUCUUUCGCUCUGUGCAAACUGGUUAAAUGAAAGGUAAAAGUCACCAUUUGUCCCUUCUGUAAAGUUUUAAAUUGGUUUAAUAAUAAUAUAAGAGCUUAAAUCAAAUAUUUUGUCAGAAAAGUGAAAAAUGUAAUGCUUUUUAUUUAGUUCAUGUGACUUGAGUAAUCUUUAGGAAAUAAACAGUUUUAAAGAUUAUUGGUAAAAUACAGUUGUCUUGAAAAUGUAAACAUGUGGUCUAAGUUAUGUUCAAAUAUUAGGUUUGCUAAAUGCUUUAAGGUCAUAAACUGCUUCUUUGGUGUUUGAAAUUUGUUUAACUUGCCUGCUUUCCAGCUAGGUAAGGCCUGAGGACAGCCCACUCGGGAUGGCCCUGGGGGCUUCUGAGAUGAAAGAGGCCUUCUUGGGAGGCUCCCAGCAUUCCCUGUGCUCUUGCCUCUUCUCCCCUCUGCCUGCCUGAAGAUCCCCCUGAGUCCCUGCCACCCCCUCUCCAUGGGGAGUUGGCCAUGCCCCUAACUAUGCUGGAAACAUUCUAAUCUUAUCAGAACACAACUUAGCAGGUUUUACAUUACAAUUAAGAUUGCUAGGAGUCACCAUUAACAUGUAAUUAAGAUUACUAGAAACAGUUUUAUAUGCAAGAUGUGUAAGAAUAGUAAAAUGUGUUUUUUUUUUUUUUUUGGUAAAAGGUUAUAAAGGGUUUUUGCUUAAAAUUUCUGAGUCAUCAUUUUGGCAAAAUAAGUAAUUUAGGGCAAUCUGGAAUUCCAAAAUCAAACUUCAGUUUCAAAAUUGUCUUUUCUAAUGCCUGGCUUUUUGGAUGGAUCAGAUGGCCCCUGAAAACAUCCAGAAAAGAGGUAAACAAGAUUAUUUAACAUGUUUAGGUACAUGGGAUCACCAAAAUGAUGUUCAAUCUUCUUUAGGUUAUAUUUUGUGAAUAAUGCUAAUGUAUGUUCUAAGAUUAUAUGGAAUUUCUAAAAUUCAAAUGUCUAAUUAUAUGCCAUCAACUAUAAUUAUGAUUAUUAUGUUACUAUAAACCAUAGAAAUAACCAAAUUUUCUUGUAUAAAGCUACUAAUCCAAGUAGAACAAAAAAAUUAAUCAAAUACCAAGAAAAUACUUUGUCAGAUUUUCAUGUUAAACAAGCUAAUACUAAAAUUAUUUAAAUAUACAAUUUGAAUAAACUCCAUGGUCUGAGUCAAAUCACCCAUGGUAACUCAUCAGCUAUCAGUACAAUGCACCUAAUUUGGAGAAUCAACUGGUAUUCAAGAGGAUAUAAGUCUAAUGUUAAUCAAGUUUAGACUCAUGGAGAACCAGGAUGGCCACAUUGUCCUUCCUGAGUCCUUAAAGCAUUUAUUAUUAAAAGUUCUGCACUCCAUGACUCACCAUGGAAAAGAUAAAAUAAUCCAAUUUGAGUACAUUGGUGUGGAAACUUACAAAUUACUAACAUAGUUUAUAACUAUUGUUUGGCCCCAUAUUCCUGGGAAUACAAAGCUUCAGGUACAUUCAGUUACCUGGUGUGCAAUUUAGACAUUUUAUGAAAGGAUGUCAUUCAAUUGUUAUUUUCAAUGCAUGUUUUCUGGUUGUAUAAAAGCUUUCCCAUGCAAGAGGGCUGGUGUUAUAACAGUAGAUUAUUAUGCUACAGUAUAUUUUCACCAGGUAAAAAAAGCUUUCAAUUGUUUGGAUCUUCUGAGAACAUCAGAAGAUCUUGCCAUCUGCACUACAACAAAACUUUGGGACCUUGAACUUUGGGUACAUAAUCUCACAACUGAGAAAGUUCCCUCCACACUCUUGGAAUUGUACACUCAUUGGAGCCCUUAAGGUAAAACUAACCAGGGAAAUUUCUCCCAAAAUGAAGAUGGCAUCCUUGAUGUGAAUAUCUUUUCCCAAGUUAACAGAUUAACACUUCUACUGUCAUGAAAUUCUUAUCUUUUAUUAUUUUUUCUUGCUUAUGCCUCUCUGAACAAUAGAAAUGGAAAAGGGAUCUGUUAUGUGCACUUAUGGGGUGUACUUUUGUUUAAGGAAUUUGCAGCCAGCCUUAUAAGUGGAUAAACUUAUACUUUGUUAGAUAAAGGACAAAGGCCCAAUGUACUUAAGAAACUUUAAUGGUACAUAUGUUGCCUAAUAAUCAUUCAAAAACAAACAAACAAACAAACAAACAAUGAUUCACUCCUCUUAAUCCACAUCAUGGGUUAAAGAGAACAUUGCCAGGAGGCCUUCACUCUUUUAGAAGGGCAUCAUUUGUUAAGUGCUUUUUCCAUGGUUUAGAGUAGAGAAGCAAUGAAUAGAAAUGUACCCCCAUUAUAUGCUCUAUAGCAAAUUUUACUGUAAGGCCUACAGUUAAACAACAGACUUUAAAUUCUUUUGUGAAAGUUAUAAUAGAGUUGGAUGAACAGAAAAGUAUCUAUGCUGCAGCUGGCACUUAUGACCUACGGAAAAAUACAUUAAAUGAAGAUUAUGGAAAUUCAGUGAAGGAGAUGAGACUGCUAAGUUAAAGACCAUCUAGCUUCAGAUGAUCAUGCAACAAAGGCUCCAGCCAAUUCCAGGUAAAGACACCACCCCUGGCCAUCAAGGAGAUACCCUGCCUCCACUAGAGAGAGCAGAGUGAGAGUUCUGUGAUCCUCAAUAGGUAGAAACUACACCCCAAGCCAGCAUGAAGCAGCUACAGAAGAAAGACCAGCUGUCCCUCUGCCUCCCAUAAAGAUUUAUGAAGAUCACAUCUCUCAGUGGGGAAAUGAGUCAAGAAAAUAAUGUCUGGAGGCAGGGAACAUAAGGCCAAUUAACACUUCAGCUAUGACAGGAAAUAUCCUUUCCAUAGGGUGUACACUAAGUGACUUCGUAACCUUACUUUGUCCUCUUCAUUUACAUAGGGCAUACAGCAAGUAACCAAUGGAAACUGCUAGAGUGUAUUUAAACUCCCACAAAUUCUGUAAUGGGGCCCUAUGCUCAUGCCCAUUACCACACUGUGAAGUGUACUUUCAUUUCGAAUAAAUAUCUCCUUUUGCUACUUUA